rnacentral:rRNA from 1 species
GAUCAUGGCUCAGAACGAACGCUGGUGGCGUGUCUAUACAUGCAAGUCGAGCGAGGUAGCAAUACCUAGCGGCGAACGGGUGAGUAACGCGUAAGCAAUCCUGCCCCAUAUCAGGAAAUACCCGUGCCAACGCGCGGUUAAUGUCCAGGAGCGUGGCCUCUCGCAUGGGAGGUUGACAAGAGAUUUAUCGGUAUGGGAUGAGCUUGCGUCCGAUUAGCUAGUUGGCGGGGUAACGGCCCACCAAGGCGACGAUCGGUAGCCGGCCUGAGAGGGUGAUCGGCCACAUUGGGACUGAGAUACGGCCCAGACUCCUACGGGAGGCAGCAGUAGGGAAUAUUGCACAAUGGGGGAAACCCUGAUGCAGCAACGCCCACGUGUGGGAAGGAGCAUUUCGGUGUGUAAACCACUGUCGUGAGGGAAUAAGGCAUUUUUCGGGAAUGUUGAAUGUACCUCGAAAGGAAGCACCGGCAAACUUCGUGCCAGCAGCCGC